rnacentral:tRNA from 1 species
GCCUGGGUGGCUCAGUGGGUUAAGCAUCUGACUUCAGCUCAGAUCGUGAUCCCUCGGUUUGUGAGUUUGAGUCCCUCCUGGGGCU